UAGGGAAUCUUCGGCAAUGGACGGAAGUCUGACCGAGCAACGCCGCGUGAGUGAAGAAGGUUUUCGGAUCGUAAAGCUCUGUUGUAAGAGAAGAACGAGUGUGAGAGUGGAAAGUUCACACUGUGACGGUAUCUUACCAGAAAGGGACGGCUAACUACGUGCCAGCAGCCGCGGUAAUACGUAGGUCCCGAGCGUUGUCCGGAUUUAUUGGGCGUAAAGCGAGCGCAGGCGGUUAGAUAAGUCUGAAGUUAAAGGCUGUGGCUUAACCAUAGUACGCUUUGGAAACUGUUUAACUUGAGUGCAGAAGGGGAGAGUGGAAUUCCAUGUGUAGCGGUGAAAUGCGUAGAUAUAUGGAGGAACACCGGUGGCGAAAGCGGCUCUCUGGUCUGUAACUGACGCUGAGGCUCGAAAGCGUGGGGAGCAAACAGGAUUAGAUACCCUGGUAGUCCACGCCGUAAACGAUGAGUGCUAGGUGUUGGGUCCUUUCCGGGACUCAGUGCCGCAGCUAACGCAUUAAGCACUCCGCCUGGGGAGUACGACCGCAAGGUUG
rnacentral:rRNA from 1 species